GACGAACGCUGGCGGCGUGCUUAACACAUGCGAGUCGAACGGAAAGGCCUGCUUUCCCUUGUGGAUUGCGGGUACUCGAGUGGCGAACGGGUGAGUAACACGUGAGUGAUCUGCCCCCAACUUGGGUAUAAGCCUGGGAAACUGGGUCUAAUUCCCGAUAGGACUGCAGGGUGGUGCCUGUGGUGGAAAACGAUUUUCUAGUGGUUGGGGAUGAGCUCGCGGCCUAUCAGCUUGUUGGUGGGGUAAUGGCCUACCAAGGCGGCGACGGGUAGCCGGCCUAAGAGGGUGGACGGCCACAUUGGGACUGAGAUACGGCCCAGACUCCUACGGGAGGCAGCAGCGGGGAAUAUUGCACAAUGGGCGGAAGCCUGAUGCAGCGACGCCGCGUGGGGGAUGACGGCCUUCGGGUUGUAAACUCCUUUCGACCGCGAGGAAGCCACCUGGUUGGAAGGGUGGUGACGGUAGUGGUAGAAGAAGCACCGGCUAACUACGUG
rnacentral:rRNA from 1 species